rnacentral:rRNA from 1 species
AUUUUCUGCUCUAUGGAGGGUUUCUAAAUGGCCGCAGUAUUUUGACUGUGCAAAGGUAGCAUAAUAAUUAGUUUCUUAAUUGGAAGCUGGAAUGAAUGGAUAUAUGAGAUAUACUUUUUAUUUAAUAUAUUAUUAAAAAUUAAAUUUUAGGUUAAAAUGCCUAAUUAUAUUUUUGGGACGAUAAGACCCUAUAGAACUUUAUAUAAAUAUUUAAAAUUAUUUUUAUAAUAAUUUUGUUUUAAGUUUUUAUAUUUUGCUGGGGUGGUAGUUAAAUUUUAACUUUAAUUUUUUAAGUCAUCUUUUUAUGUUUUUUUGAUCUUUUUUUAGUAUUAUAAGAAUAAGUUACCUUAGGGAUAACAGCGUAAUUUUAGUGGGGAGUUCAUAUCUAUACUAAAGUUUACGACCUCGAUGUUGAAUUAAGAUAAGUUUAAGAAGCAGGACUCUUGAAACAAAGUC